rfam:Salmo salar isolate Sally breed double haploid chromosome ssa21, whole genome shotgun sequence.
AAUGCACCAAUUUGUAAGUCGCUCUGGAUAAGAGUGUCUGCUAGAUGAUGUAAA